GAAAAGGUUUUUCUAAAAACCCUCAAUAAUAACAGAAUGUAUACUU
rfam:Strongyloides stercoralis strain PV0001 genome assembly, scaffold: SSTP_scaffold0000001